rnacentral:rRNA from 1 species
UACGUAGGGGGCAAGCGUUAUCCGGAUUUACUGGGUGUAAAGGGAGCGUAGGCGGUGCAGCAAGUCAGAAGUGAAAGCCCGGGGCUCAACUCCGGGACUGCUUUUGAAACUGUUGAACUAGAUUGCAGGAGAGGUAAGUGGAAUUCCUAGUGUAGCGGUGAAAUGCGUAGAUAUUAGGAGGAACACCAGUGGUGAAGGCGGCUUACUGGACUGUAAAUGACGCUGAGGCUCGAAAGCGUGGGGAGCAAACAGG